rnacentral:rRNA from 1 species
AGAGCUUCUAUAAGAUUAGGUAGUAGGUGGGGUAAGAGCCUGCCUAGCCCAAGAUCUUUAACUGGCCUGAGAGGGUGUACAGUCACGCCAGGAUUGAAAUACGGCCUGGACUCCUACGGGAGGCAGCAGUCAAGAAUAUUAGNCAAUGAGCGAAAGCUUGAUCUAGCAAUAUCAAAUGGGUGAGGAAGGUGAGAACUGUAAAACUCUGUAAUCAAGGAAGAUAAUGACAUUACUUGAGGAGAAAGUCCCGGCUAAUCUCGUGCCAGCAGCCGCGGUAAUACGAGAGGGACAAGUGUUAUUCAUGAUGAUUGGGCGUAAAGGGUACGUAGGCGGUUUAGAAAGUUAAUUCUUAAAGACUUAUGCUUAACAUAAGGAGGGAAUUAAAACUGCUAAACUAGAGUACGUAAGAGGAAAGUGGUAUUCUUAGAGUAAAGGUGAAAUUUGUGGAUACUAAGAGGAGCAUCGAAGGCGAAGGCAACUUUCUGGGACGUAACUGACGCUGAGGUACGAAAGCAUGGGGAGCAAAUAAGAUUAGAGACCUUAGUAGUCCAUGCUGUCAACGAUGANUNUUGAAUAUUAAAGCUCUAGGGUUAUAGUAAUAAUUCUAGAGAGGUGGUGUUUCAGCUAACGC